UGGGGAAUAUUGCACAAUGGGCGCAAGCCUGAUGCAGCCAUGCCGCGUGUAUGAAGAAGGCCUUCGGGUUGUAAAGUACUUUCAGCGAGGAGGAAGGCGUUGUGGUUAAUAACCGCAACGAUUGACGUUACUCGCAGAAGAAGCACCGGCUAACUCCGUGCCACAGCCGCGGUAAUACAGGGGGUGCAAGCGUUAAUCGGAAUUACUGGGCGUAAAGCGCACGCAGGCGGUCUGUCAAGUCGGAUGUGAAAUCCCCGGGCUCAACCUGGGAACUGCAUCCGAAACUGGCAGGCUAGAGUCUUGUAGAGGGGGUAGAAUUCCAGGUGUAGCGGUGAAAUUGCGUAGAGAUCUGGAGGAAUACCGGUGGCGAAGGCGGCCCCCUGGACAAAGACUGACGCUCAGGUGCGAAAGCGUGGGAGCAAACA
rnacentral:rRNA from 1 species